rnacentral:rRNA from 1 species
CCUUCGGGUUUAGUGGCGCACGGGUGCGUAACGCGUGGGAAUCUGCCCCUUGGUUCGGAAUAACAGUUGGAAACGACUGCUAAUACCGGAUGAUGACGUAAGUCCAAAGAUUUAUCGCCGAGGGAUGAGCCCGCGUAGGAUUAGGUAGUUGGUGUGGUAAAGGCGCACCAAGCCGACGAUCCUUAGCUGGUCUGAGAGGAUGAUCAGCCACACUGGGACUGAGACACGGCCCAGACUCCUACGGGAGGCAGCAGUGGGGAAUAUUGGACAAUGGGCGAAAGCCUGAUCCAGCAAUGCCGCGUGAGUGAUGAAGGCCUUAGGGUUGUAAAGCUCUUUUACCCGGGAUGAUAAUGACAGUACCGGGAGAAUAAGCUCCGGCUAACUCCGUGCCAGCAGCCGCGGUAAUACGGAGGGAGCUAGCGUUAUUCGGAAUUACUGGGCGUAAAGCGCACGUAGGCGGCUUUGUAAGUAAGAGGUGAAAGCCCAGAGCUCAACUCUGGAAUUGCCUUUUAGACUGCAUCGCUUGAAUCAUGGAGAGGUCAGUGGAAUUCCGAGUGUAGAGGUGAAAUUCGUAGAUAUUCGGAAGA